rnacentral:rRNA from 1 species
AACGAACGCUGGCGGCAGGCUUAACACAUGCAAGUCGAACGCACCUUUCGGGGUGAUUGGCCGACGGGUGAGUAACGCGUGGGAAUCUACCCUUCUCUACGGGAUAGCUCCGGGAAACUGGAAUUAAUACCGUAUACGUCCUGAGGGAGAAAGAUUUAUCGGGGAAGGAUGAGCCCGCGUUGGAUUAGCUAGUUGGUGGGGUAAAGGCCUACCAAGGCGACGAUCCAUAGCUGGUCUAAGAGGAUGAUCAGCCACAUUGGGACUGAGACACGGCCCAAACUCCUACGGGAGGCAGCAGUGGGGAAUAUUGGACAAUGGGCGCAAGCCUGAUCCAGCCAUGCCGCGUGAGUGAUGAAGGCACUAGGGUUGUAAAGCUCUUUCAGUGGGGACGAUAAUGACGGUACCCAAAGAAGAAGCCCCGGCUAACUUCGUG